GUGGGGAAUAUUGGACAAUGGGGGGAACCCUGAUCCAGCCAUGCCGCGUGUGUGAAGAAGGCCUUUUGGUUGAAAAGCACUUUAAGCGAGGAGGAGGCUACCGAGAUUAAUACUCUUGGAUAGUGGACGUUACUCGCAGAAUAAGCACCGGCUAACUCUGUGCCAGCAGCCGCGGUAAUACAGAGGGUGCAAGCGUUAAUCGGAUUUACUGGGCGUAAAGCGCGCGUAGGUGGCCAAUUAAGUCAAAUGUGAAAUCCCCGAGCUUAACUUGGGAAUUGCAUUCGAUACUGGUUGGCUAGAGUAUGGGAGAGGAUGGUAGAAUUCCAGGUGUAGCGGUGAAAUGCGUAGAGAUCUGGAGGAAUACCGAUGGCGAAGGCAGCCAUCUGGCCUAAUACUGACACUGAGGUGCGAAAGCAUGGGGAGCAAACAGGAUUAGAUACCCUGUAGUCC
rnacentral:rRNA from 1 species